rnacentral:rRNA from 1 species
AUUGAACGCUGGCGGCAUGCCUUACACAUGCAAGUCGAACGGCAGCACGGGAGCAAUCCUGGUGGCGAGUGGCGAACGGGUGAGUAAUAUAUCGGAACGUGCCCGGUCGUGGGGAUAACGUAGCGAAAGCUACGCUAAUACCGCAUACGAUCUACGGAUGAAAGCGGGGGAUCGCAAGACCUCGCGCGAUUGGAGCGGCCGAUAUCAGAUUAGGUAGUUGGUGAGGUAAAGGCUCACCAAGCCGACGAUCUGUAGCUGGUCUGAGAGGACGACCAGCCACACUGGAACUGAGACACGGUCCAGACUCCUACGGGAGGCAGCAGUGGGGAAUUUUGGACAAUGGACGCAAGCCUGAUCCAGCCAUGCCGCGUGCAGGAUGACGGUCCUAUGGAUUGUAAACUGCUUUUAUACAGGAAGAAACACUCCGACGUGUCGGAGCUUGACGGUACUGUAAGAAUAAGGAUCGGCUAACUCCGU